rnacentral:rRNA from 1 species
GACGAACGCUGGCGGCGUGCUUAACACAUGCAAGUCGAACGGAAAGGCCCUGCUUUUGUGGGGUGCUCGAGUGGCGAACGGGUGUGUAACACGUGAGUAACCUGCCCUUGACUUUGGGAUAACUUCAGGAAACUGGGGCUAAUACCGGAUAGGAGCUCCUGCUGCAUGGUGUGGGUUGGAAAGUUUCGGCGGUUGGGGAUGGACGCGCGGCUUAUCAGCUUGUUGGUGGGGUAGUGGCUUACCAAGGCUUUGACGGGUAGCCGGCCUGAGAGGGUGACCGGCCACAUUGGGACUGAGAUACGGCCCAGACUCCUACGGGAGGCAGCAGUGGGGAAUAUUGCACAAUGGGCGGAAGCCUGAUGCAGCAACGCCGCGUGCGGGAUGACGGCCUUCGGGUUGUAAACCGCUUUCGGCUGUGACGAAGCGUGAGUGACGGUAAUGGGUAAAGAAGCACCGGCUAACUACGUG